CCUACGGGAGACAGCAGUGAGGAAUAUUGGUCAAUGGACGAGAGUCUGAACCAGCCAAGUAGCGUGAAGGAUGACUGCCCUAUGGGUUGUAACCUUCUUUUAUAUGGGAGUAAAAUAUUCCACGUGUGGGAUAUUGUAUGUACCAUAUGAAUAAGGAUCGGCUAACUCCGUGCCAGCAGCCGCGGUAAUACGGAGGAUCCGAGCGUUAGCCGGAUUUAGUGGGUGUAAGGGGUGCGUAGGUGGAUUGUUAAGUCAGUUGUGAAAGUUUGCGGCUUAACCGUAAAAUUGCAGUUGAAACUGGCAGUCUUGAGUACAGGAGAGGUAGGUGGAAUUCGUGGUGUAGGGGUGAAAUGCUUAGAGAUCACGAAGAACUCUGAUUGCGAAGGCAGUUCACUGGA
rnacentral:rRNA from 1 species